GACGAACGCUGGCGGCGUGCUUAACACAUGCAAGUCGAACGGAAAGGCCCUGCUUUUGUGGGGUGCUCGAGUGGCGAACGGGUGAGUAACACGUGAGUAACCUGCCCUUGACUUUGAGAUAACUUCAGGAAACUGGGGCUCAUACCGGAUAGGAGCUCCUGCUGCAUGGUGGGGGUUGGAAAGUUUCGGCGGUUGGGGCUGGACUCGCGGCUUAUCAGCUUGUUGGUGGGGUAGUGGCUUACCAAGGCUUUGACGGGUAGCCGGCCUGGGAGGGUGACCGGCCACAUUGGGACUGAGAGACGGCCCAGACGCCGACGGGAGGCAGCAGUGGGGAAUAUGGCACAAUGGGCGGAAGCCUGAUGCAGCAACGCCGCGUGCGGGAUGACGGCCUUCGGGUUGUAAACCGCUUUCGCCUGUGACGAAGCGUGAGUGACGGUAAUGGGUAAAGAAGCACCGGCUAACUACGUG
rnacentral:rRNA from 1 species